UUAGGUCUUUACUAUGGUUGUAAUGAAGGGCUAGGUUAUGGGUUAUGAAAGAAAGGGAAGGAAAUACUAGAACUUGAAACAUACCAAGGCAUUUAUCACGUUAUAAGGCUCGGCUCUUCAAAUUUAUUUCACAGAGGCGUCCAGGAUUUUUGAUAUGCUUUACAUUUUUUUUUUCUUUAAUAGAUUUCUCUCUUUUUGUUUUUUCUUUUUUUUUUCUUUUUAUUUAUUUAUUUAUUUUUAAGCACAUAUUUCCUCGGUACACGCCACCUCUUUUGUUGAUGUAGAGAUUAACCUUCAUCCUUGUCUUCAUGCCAUGGCAUAUCCCAAGUUAUAGGGUAUGGCUAAAAAUAGGGUGAAAAGGGUAAGGAAAUAUUGUGGGUGAUGAAAGAAAAGGCUAAGUGUUUGGCUUCAAAGGGUUGAUGGCACACACAAUGGGUAGGACAUGAGGUUUUAUUUAGUGGUUAGAACAUGCAUAGCCUAACAUCAUCUCUCAAGGUCCAUCCAACUCAAAAGUAAAAGCAUGAGAUGAUUCCAAAAAUAGAGAUUAGUUCUUAGUAUUCAAUUCAAAAGCCUAAUUGAGAUCAAUUUAAAUAAGAAAGAAAGAAAAUAGUGAAUAAGACUAAUCCCAAAUACUCUCUCAAU
rnacentral:lncRNA from 1 species